rnacentral:tRNA from 1 species
GCCGGGGUGGUGGAAUGGCAUACACGGGUCACUCAAAAUGAUUUGCUCGAGAGGGCAUGCGGGUUCGACUCCCGUCCCCGGCA